rnacentral:tRNA from 1 species
UCCUCAGUAGCUCAGUGGUAGAGCGGUCGGUUGUUAACUGACUGGUCGUAGGUUUGAAUCCUACUUGGGGAG